CAGAGAAACCCUGUCUCAAAACACACACACACACACACACACACACACACACACACACACACACACACACAAGUCUGCCCUUUUGGCCUAAUGAAUUCACAACUUGGACCUAUCAACAAAACAGAAAUAUAUAUGUAUACACAUGCAAAUUUUCUUCGCUCUCUUGAUAGACUGUAGGAAUAGGGGGCAUCCUCAUUAUUCACACAAAAGUCCACCCACCCCCCUGAGGAUUUUCCAAAAGAAAAACCCAGCACAAGUAGUCAAGUUAGAGAUGCCACCUCCAAGAAAGUGGUAGAACAGGCAAACAUGGGGUACAUCAUCCAUCUUACCACAAAGUGUUCUCUUAGGGAACCAGUUGCCAUCUUCUAGGAACAGUCAGGACAAGGUGGUUCAAACAGGCCCUGAACUCUGGAAGACCGAUGUAAAAAGUGGAUUGGGAACUGCCUCUUUCCAAGUUCUUUUAUUCUCUGACUCCUCAGACACAUGGUUGGCAGAGGAGACCUCUACCUUCCCUUCGACAUCUUUGGAAAAGGCCCUCACCAGACCUGGGUUUUCCUCCUUGGAGGAAUGGACAGACCCGUCCACCACGAAUCUCUCCUCUAGUACUUAAGUCAAGCAUUUUCCCCACAGCUCAUAGAAACGAUCCCAUACUGUCAUGGCCCAGGGCACUGGCACCUGAGUGAGAAACCAGCUGAGGAUUCUGAGGUUAUCUGGAGAGAACCGCCCUCCCUUCAGGUACAGCAGCCACUUUGUGUUUCCCAAGGCCUCUCCUUGCUGUCCUCCACACAACACAGCCUCUCUUCUGAAGCCCUCUUGAGCUACAAGGCUGAUCCCAUCUCCUAGUGCACUGGGACAGGGUUGGAGUUCCUGGGCUCUCUCCCGCUUCUACCAGGCCUGAGGGUCCUCCACACAGUGUCCACCUGUCCCCCAAUCCCCACACUCUCUGGUGCUUUAUGGAACAUCACAGCCCUCCACACUACCAGCAGUCCAUAAAACUGGAUCCCCUUUGCUUUCAGACCCUCCUGUGGCUUCCUACUGCUCUGAGGAACGUCAGGUGGGCCUUCACCAUCUCACUUUGCACCACAUCCUGGCCACCAUGCCAUUCCCUCAGAGGGAGUGGCCCCUCCCCCAAAUGCUCUCCCACAUCAACCAGCUCUAUCUGUUCCAUCCAGAAAGCUGUUGAUAAUUAUUCUGGGUAGAACCAGCCUCCCAUCUCAAGCAUAGGACUUUCCCAAGGUGUCCAGGAGACUACUUACUUCACUGUUUCCCUGUUGGGGAAUCCAUCUCCUGAGCUAAGGAAAUACAAUCCUGGGAGACAAGGUCCUGUCAGACAUCCUAUUUCUUUCAUGGGGUUCAGUGUUUUGUGCAUAAUCCAAUGGACCCUUCAUAGAAAUGUCUAAUGGACAUGAAAUGAGAAGAUUAUCAGUUUCUAGGAAAGACAAGCAUCCUGCUAGGAAUGGACUACUUCCCAAAGAGAGCCCUAAAUGUUUUCACCAAAUAUAUACUUGGGGCCCCAAGCUGGGUUGAGAAUGAAUGAACUAAGAGUGUGGGCAGUCAUCAAGGUUCUACCCAUCAACUGCCUGGAAAAGCAACUCUGCAAACCUUGCUCCCAGAACCAUUUGUAUUCUCAGGCUUUUCCCAGAAAGUACCACUAGAGAUCUGAAAACUGCUCUUCUGCAGCUAGUCAGGACAUGCAGAGAGGGGCAGCUCACGGUUUGUAGUUGAUAUCUUGGGCAGAGGCACCUACUGUUUCUAGCUGUGAGCUUUGGGAACUUCCUCUGUGAAAGACGUCAGGAGUGAGAGGCUCCCAAGGAUCAAAAUGUCAUGUGUGAUUUGGGUGCAUGCCAAGUUCCUCCUAACUUGGUUCCAUUACAAGCUUCAUCACUGAAUGUCUCCUGCUUCUCUGGGAGGAAGAGAACAUCUGGAAAAUUAUGACAAAAAUGAGAGGCAGCCACUGGCAUUUGUGUUCUCAUUUGUAGUUUCUGGUUUUUGUUUUGCCUUUUAAUUUUUUUCCUAGAAAAGAAAAACACAACCAGAGGAAUUUAUAUGACAAACUAUCAGUAUCAGAAUGGCAGGGAAAAGUGAAAGAAAGGC